rnacentral:tRNA from 1 species
GGGCCCGUAGCUCAACGGCAGAGCAGGCGGCUCAUAACCGCUUGGUUGAUGGUUCGAACCCAUCCGGGCCCACCA